rfam:Oryza sativa Japonica Group DNA, chromosome 2, cultivar: Nipponbare, complete sequence.
AAAAAGGCAAACUUUAGAUUUCUGUGUCCAACUUUGACUAUCUAUCUUAUAUGAAUUUUUUUUAUAAUUCAUAUUUUCAUUGUUGUUAGAUAAUAAAACAUGAUUAAUAUUUUAUGCGUGACUUGUCUUUUUAAUUUUUUUUCUAAUUUUUUCAAAUAAGACGAACGGUCAAACGUUGGACACGGAAACCAGAGUUUGUCUUUUUU